GGUUGUGGCUCAGUGGUAGAGUGCUUGUCUUGCAUGUGUGAGGCACUGGAUUCGACCCUCAGCACCA
rnacentral:tRNA from 1 species